CCUGGCUUUUGGGCAUGAGGGGCAAGAAGGGCGCUGCCUACCAGGAAAAGCGGGCACCCUCUGGCUUCCUCGGCAUGCGCGGCUGAGGAAUGAAAAGGGAGACUGUCCUGCCAUAAUCAACCUCCACCACCUCCACCACCUCCACCACCUCCACCACCGCCACCACUGCAACCACCACCUCCACCUCCACCACCACCAUCAACACCAAACAGCGGCAACAACAACACCAAGAAUAACAAUAAGAAAAUCACAUAAAACACAUAACUAAACAACAAUAAUAAUAAUAAUAAUAAUAAUAAUAAUAAUAAUAAUAAUAAUAAUAAUAAUAAUAAUAAUAAUAAUAAUAAUCACCCUCAUUACCUGUCUUCUCUUUAAUUAAUUCUUCUUACCUGUCCAGACCACAAUUAACUAACCCAGGUGUGUGUGUGUGUGUGUGUGUGUGUGUGUGUGUGGUGGUGGUGGUGGUGGUGGUGGUGGUAAUUAGCUUUAGUAACCUUUUCAACACCUGUCCUCGCCUGUCCCCUCACCUGUGUGUUUCAAUUAAGGUGCGUGAGGCUGGGGGGCUCUUCAUUAAGGGUUCCAGGUAUCUUAAUGGCCCAGGUGAUAGCUAUUUCCCAUUUAAUUACCUCCACUUUCCCUUUCUUUCACCUUCAUUUUACUCCUCUCUGAAUAUCCUCUUUUUUUUCUUUUUUUUCUACUUUUUCAACAAGCUUCUUUUUUCUCUUUGUUUCUGCUUUGUCAGUGGUCUUCUUUCUUCUUGUUUUCUUCUUUUCAUUCUUUCUUUUCUCGGUCAAUUUCAGCAUUUUGUAGAUAGUGUUUUUCUCGUUCAGUCUUCCUUUUUUCCCUUCAUCCCUUUUCCUUCCCUAUCCUCUUCCCUUCAUUUCUUUCCCUUUUUAUUUCCUUUCUAUGCCUUCCCUUUCUCUUCUUCCUAUCUCCUUAUACCUCCCUAUCUCUCUUCUUCCAUUCAUUCCUCUUCUUUUCCUUUCCCAUCCCUUCCCAUCCCUUCCUCUCCCUCCCUCUUCCUUGUGGCUGGUUUUCGUCCCUUCCUUUUUAAACCCAUUUCCUUUUCCAGUUAUCUAGUCAGUCAGUCAGUCUGUCUGCCCGUCUGUCUGUCUGUCUGUUGAUUCAUAGACCAGAGGGAGAAUGUUAAAUAAUAAUAAUGUAAUCCAAUCAUUUAUCACAACACUUAGUAACACAAGAACAUCGAGAGGACGGUAGAAGAGGAAUCGGAUCUCUUGUAGUAAUAGACUUUGAUCCUCUUUGUGUGUGGGAACCUUCUUUUUAUUUUGUCUUUAGUAUCUCAUUUGACAAUCCCUGCACUUGGUCAUUUCUUUUCUGCCUAAUCUUCCUUUAACUUUGUCUCUACUUUCCCCUGUUUUGAUUGUCUUCCUUUCUCCCUUUCUAACUCAUAACAUCGAGAAGUGUUGUUUCAUUAAAGGGUGUUGUGUCGCUUAUAAGUAGUGUCUGAUCCUGUGUCUGGUGUUAAUUCAAUAUGCUGGGAUGCUGGGAGCCUUCUUUCCUUAUUCCGUGUUCUGUCUCUCUCUUGUUGUGUGAGGGAGUGAAUGUUGGAAGAGAUGGUGACUGCUUUGUGUGAAGAUGGCUGUGUGUAUGUGUUAGACCUCUUCCUCUUUCUCCUCCCUCUCUUCCUCCUUCUCCUUCUUCCCAAAUAGCUGUCUGGACUUAUGUCAGUGAUUUUAAACUUGUAAAAGGGGAAUUUAGAGAAUGUUUGAAUCAAUAUAUUUUCAAAAGCCCAAAGUUAUUUCCCCUUAUUUUGAGGAUGUAAUUGCUUUUUCCUUCAUAUUUAUUUCUGCAAAGGUUUGUAGUGUUGCAUCUGUCAUGUAUUGAAUGUUGCAAAUUAUUUUGUGAAGAAGUUUGGAGUGCAGUAGUUUGUUUAUAAGGUUAAAAUUUCCCUCAUAUCAAACUAUUAAGAUAUCUCGAACUUUAAUGCAAAAAAUAUAUAUAUGAUGUUGAUGCAGGUGAUAUAUAUUGAUGAGUUAUAUAAGUGGAGAGUUGUAGACACAUCACAGAGGAAUCUAUAUAUGUAUCCAGAUAGACAUUUAUUUAUAUUUCAAGAGACAAUUACAUGUAUCCAGAGUUUUAUAUAUAUUACAGAACAAACCUAUAUCAUUACACAUAUCCAGGGAAAAUGUAUCAUAUAUAUAUUUAAUAAUAGAUAAAUAUGACAUGUAUUGAUAAGUUCAUAGGGGAGGUAGGUAGAAAUUAUUAUUAUUAUCAUUAUUAUUAUUAUUACUAUUAUUAUGAAAGUGUGAUGCAGGUGGAUACUGGUGUGUUGAUAGUUUUUUAGAGAGAGAGAGAGAGAGAGAGAGAGAGAGAGAGAGAGAGAGCGUUAUCUUCUCUCCUUCGUGGUCUAAUCUCGGCUCCCGCAACAUUGUUUUGAUCGAUUCGUGAGGCAACGCGACGAAACAUUACGACCAACACUAAAAUCUUUGGCUUCUAUAGUUCGUUCAGUGCAAUAAAGGACAGACUUGAGAUAGG